CGACCGGCGCGACGGUGAGUAACACGUAUAGUAAACCGUACGACCCGGUACGCACGGGGGAUAAGCGGAAGAAAUUCCGUCUAAUACCGCGUAACAACCCGAGGAGGCAUCUCCUCGGGGUUUAAAGGAAGCGAUUCCGGCUACGGAUGGUCAUGCGUCGCAUUAGCUAGUUGGCGGGGUAACGGCCCACCAAGGCGACGAUGCGUAGGGGUUCUGAGAGGAAGGUACCCCCACACUGGUACUGAGACACGGACCAGACUCCUACGGGAGGCAGCAG
rnacentral:rRNA from 1 species